UGACCUCGGAUCAGUCGUGAUUACCCGCUGAACUGAAGCAUAUCACUAAGCGGAGGAACAGAAACUAACCAGGAUUCCCCUAGUAACGGCGAGUGAAGAGGGAUUAGCUCAGCACUGAAGCCUGCGGUAGGUUUACUGCUCCACUCGAAGUCCAGCGCUGGGUAUGGUUCCCUGGAUUUGGCCCAGAUAGGGUAAAGGCCCGUGCGAGUGGAGUUAUGGAAAUGUGAGGCAAUUCACCAGGUCAACCUUCGAGUCGGAUUGUUUGGGAAUGCAGCCCAAAGUGGGUGGUAAAAUCCAUCCAAGGCUAAAUACAAGCUCGAGUCCGAUAGCGAACAAGUUCCGUGAGGGAAAUGUUGAAAAGUUCUUUGAAGAGAAAGUAAACAGUUCGGUAAACCGCAUAUAGGUAAACGGGUGGCGUCAAGCUGCAAACAUAGAGGAUUCAGUCGGCCUGUGUGUAUGCGCGCCUGGUGCAUCUGUCGGACGGACAGUUCACUGCGAAAAGGUGGGCCUGGUCUUUCCUUGGGAGGGAGAGAAUUGGCGUUCCGGGAAGUUGCCGGAGCAAACUGUUUUGGCUGUCUGCGCAUAAUGUUGAUGGACCGGCCAAUGCACUUCCUCUAUCUGGUUAGCACCAUGACUGGUGGAACUGCCAGUCUGCCGUAGUCAAAUCGGGUUUGGUCGCUGGCUCCUCUGGGGUCAUCGGCUGAGCUUCGAUCAUCACAGGCGAAUUCAGUGAGCGGCGUGUGUAGGCAUUGCAUACACACGUGUUAUCGAGCACUGGUCGUCAACGGGUCUGUCUGUCAGUUGUGCUUUUGCAGUCACCGGCGGAUGUCCUGGUGGGCUACGGUUGUAUGUAUAACUGUGCAGGGCACCAGGGUUGUCGGUCUCUAGUUUCUGGCUCGUGCGCACACUGCAUGUGGGCGUGGGGUGUUGCUGUAGGCUGCCAAUAGCUGGGUCUGAUCGUCGUGUUGCCUGCGCAAAGUGGGUCCGGCGGUGGUCUGGUGUAGGAUGGUCUUACCUGCGAUGCUUCCUGUACGAGUCGGCUCGGGCCAAACAGUCUGUGGUGUUGUGGUGGACGAGCUACCCGACCCGUCUUGAAACACGGACCAAGGAGUUUAUCAUGCACGUGAGUCAAUGGGUCCCACGAAACCCCAAGGCGCAGUGAAAGUGAAGUUUCGACUUGUUCUCCGGAUGUGGUGAGAUGCCACUGUUUCUCGCACCUCGCCUUGCGCGUACAGCACCAGACACAAGAGCAGUGGUCGCAUCACUGGCCCGUCUCAUGAUGGGGUCGUUGGAAAGGCGCGGUAACUCAACCGAACACGGAGACAUCGGCUGGAGUUCCGGGAAGAGUUUUCUUUUCUUUUUAAAGAGUGCUCACCACCCCUGGAAUCGGGUUGACCGGAGAUAGGGGUAUCGCCUGCGUACAGCACCACCCCUCUUGUGGUGUCCGGAACACUCUGGUCGGUCCUUGAAAAUCCGAGGAAGGCAUUAUGAUUUUCGUGGCAGGACGUACCCAUAUCCGCAUCAGGUCUCCAAGGUGAACAGCCUCUGGCAAUAGAAUAAUGUAGGUAAGGGAAGUUGGCACAUUUGAUCCGUAACCUAGGAAAAAGUAUUGGCUCUGAGGGCCGAGUCAGACACCCUGGGCAAUGAAACGUGUCUGCUCAGCCUGCGGCUGGCUAGUCGGCCAGCUGGACUGUGAUUGCAACUGCUGCUGCUGGGUGUACGCCGCUGCUUCCGCUGUGUGCUGCGUGCGUGCUGCGUUAUCUGUGUGGCGUGGUCGGGCAAAUGGCCGCGUAGCAUGGUGCGCAUGUGCGCGCACGUGUGUGCAUGCACCUGGUUGUGGUGGUUGACUCGGUGGCGUGGUGUGACCUUGACUGGCGGGCUGACUGGCUGGAAGUGAGCAGAGUGGAUCGUGGGCAGGUCCAGUUAUGCCUGUCCCUUGGUUUGCGCUGUUUGUGGCCGUGCCUAUUUGCGGGGUUUCGGCUACGAUGGUGGUUGCGUUGGCGGCGGUUGUGUAGCCUUGGGGCACUUGGCUGACGUCAAACGGCGGGCGUAACUAUGACUCUCUUAAGGGGUACAGUCUGAGGCCCCCCUCCCUCCUGCGCCCAGGGUGCUAUCCUGAGUGCGUGGUUGGUACGCGAAGCCUUCUCGUGGUGCUCCCAGUGACGGGAAGGGUUCACUCUGUUGACCUCGAUGGCUCAGCCGCACCCGUUUGAAUAUGUGACCCCACUGGUCUGCCGAUUGUUAAACUAGCGAAAAAUAAUGGAGUCCUUUAAUGAAGCUGUUAACCCCCCACCUCGCGCCUCCGCGGUGGAACCCGGACUAACGGCUUUCUUUGUUCACAUUGUGUACGAAUCUGCCGCUCUGCUGCUGGGCUGAAGCUUCGUGUGUCUAUGUCAGCCAGAUCCUGUGCUGCCCACAUCGGUGUCGGUGGCCAUGUCCCUGCCUACUCAUCCUUCUUCCGGGAACUUUCGCUGUAAUCAUUGUCCUCGAGGCUUCUUAUCUGUGUGUGGGUGCUCGCAGCAUAUGUAGAGUGUCCAUCCUGCUGCUAACUUCUCUGAACGCGGCCGUUUAGCUCCUUCUCGGACUAACUGGACUGCUCAGGCAGAUGCUCUCUUGCGUAGCUGUGCUUCAGCUGUGGUCAAGGCAGCUGGCCCACUUGCUCUUCGUGCUGUUGCUCGCGAGGUGGGGGUUAAGUUCCCCACGCGAAUUGUUGAGGCUGCCUUCAGGCGACUUUCUAAGUUGCAUAUGGACGAGCCCCUGUUUGCCCUGUCAGGGCAACUCUCUCCUGCCGGUCCUACAUCUCCUAUACACCUUACUGCUCCUAUCUGGCUAACGGACCAGGUGCAGUGCUGUCGAAACUCGCUCCUUCACUCGGCCGUCAAGCUCUUAACUGAAUCACCAGGUCAGGCCUUAGCAUCGGGUGACCUGCUAUCACUCGAUUUGGAUCUGCUCAUGAGAGAGGAGCAUCUUCCUGAGGCUGCUCCACGCCUUGCUGCCCACGUGCUCUCUGUUUUUCCACGAUGCUGGUGACCCAGAAUGAGUCGACGACCAACUGCAGCUGCGCGCCCCACCGCCAGCCGCAAACUAAUACGGGCUCAGUAUGUGGAGGUACAAGCUCAGUUUGCCAAAAAUCCCAAAGCCGGGGCCCAGUUUGUCCUGCCGGGCGAUUAACGUAAAGCCCCGUGCCCUGAAACACCGCUACUCCAAAUGCUGUGGCCUGGAAAAUCCUUGAUCCUAUUUCUGCCAUUGACGUGACUCGAAACCUGAGGCUGAUGCACGGCUCGGUUGCAGGAAUUGAUGGCCUGUCAGCGAGGGAUCAGUUGCAGUGGUCACCUGGGACCAUAGCUGGAUAUCUUAACAUCAUUCUAUCGACUGGUCACCUCCCCGCGCAGCACUGCAUUUGUCGAACGACCCUGGUUCCGAAACUCGCAACUCUUAUUCUCCCUUCGGACUUCUGCCCAAUAGCGGUGUCCAAUUUCAUCCCUCGCUUGCUAAACCAUUUUAUCUCUCAACGAUUGUCUCGCCUCUGCCCUACUACCCGCUACCUGUUUGGUUUCCAGGAGCGGGAUGGGACUGCAGAGGCGACGUCUCUCCUUCACGGAAUGUAAUGGCAUGCGAUCUCUGCUCCUAGAUCCAUUGCUGUGGCUGUGCUCGAUGUGGCCAAAACCUUUGAUUCCGUGAAUCAUGGUACGCUCCUGCGAACUGCCGAGACGAAUGGAGCCCCACCUCUACUUCUUAAUCUUCUAGCUUCAUCCUAUUCCCGAACACAUACCUUUAUAUUGGGCACUGAGGUACGAUGCCAACAUAGCGUCCGCCAAGGUGACCCUCUCUGCCCUCUUCUAUUUAACUACACUCUUUCCGAAGCUAUUACCUAUUCUGACCGGUUCUCGUCAUAAGCCAUUCACCGGCUGCUAGUAGGGUAUAAUAAAUACUUCCUAGCCAAGUGCCUCGUCAUCUAAGUAGUGACGCGCAUGAAUGGAUUAACGAGAUUCCUACUGCCCCAUUCUACUAUCUAGCGAAACCACAGCCAAGGAAACGGGCUUGGCAGAAUCCGCGAAGAAAGUACACCCUGGUGAGCUUGACUCUAGUCUGACUCUGUGAAGAGACAUGGCGGGUGUAUUAAUUAGUGGGAGGCGGGAAUCGCCCUUCGGGGUCUCGUUCGAAAAUGAAAGACCACUCCCAUCCUUGUUUCUUUACUCUUUCAGUGAAGCGGGAACUGUCCAUUAUUUUCCAUGUUGACAUUAAGCACACGUUAGCGCAUUGUUCGAACACCGUAUGUGGCUGGCGUGCCAGCGUCUUGGUCGCAACUGUCUGGCCAGGGCUAGUGAUAUGCGUGUUUUGCUCUCUACUGCCUGUAGGUUGUUGCCGCAAGGUGGCAGCCCAUAGCUGGUAGACGGUGGGCGCAUGUGUCCGGUCUUAGUGCUAUCAGGCUGGUUUGGUGACGUGCGACCCGAUCUGAAGACAGUGUCAGGCGGGGAGUUUGACUUGGGCGGUACAUCUGUCAAAUCGUAACGCAGGUGUCCCAAGGUGAGCUCAGCCAGGAUAGAAACCUGGCGUAGAGUUAAAGGGCAAAAGCUUACUUGAUUUUGAUUUUCAGUACCAAUACAGACCGUGAAAGCGUGACUUAGCGAUCCUUUUGAUCAACUGAUAUUCAGAUUUUGAAGCAAGCGGUGUCAGAAAAGUAACCACAGGGGUAACUGGCUUGCAGCGGCCAAGCGUUCAUCGUGACAUCGUUUUUUAAUCCACCGCUGUCGGCUCUUCCUAACAUUGUGCAGCAGAAUUCACCAAGCGUUGGAUGGUUCACGCACUAGAAGAGAACGUGAGCUAGGUUUAGACCGUCGUCUGAUAGGUUAUUUUUACCCUACUGAUGGUUGAACUGCGUUAACAGUGAAGUACAAUCUGGUCGUUGCAAUGGUAAUUCUGUUUAGUACGAGAGGAACCGCGGGUUCAGACAUUUGGAACAUGUACCUGGCCGAGCGGUCAAUGGUGCGAAGCUACCAUCUGAGGGAUUAAGACUGAACGCUUCUAAGUCUGAAUCCCGUCCAGAGAUGCGCAAUGAUACAGU
rnacentral:rRNA from 1 species